rnacentral:rRNA from 1 species
ACACAUGCAAGUCGAGGGGCAGCAUGAUUGAAGCUUGCUUCAAUUGAUGGCGACCGGCGCACGGGUGAGUAACGCGUAUCCAACCUUCCGUACACUCAGGGAUAGCCUUUCGAAAGAAAGAUUAAUACCUGAUGGUAUGAUGAGAUUGCAUGAUAGCAUCAUUAAAGAUUUAUCGGUGUACGAUGGGGAUGCGUUCCAUUAGGUAGUAGGCGGGGUAACGGCCCACCUAGCCUACGAUGGAUAGGGGUUCUGAGAGGAAGGUCCCCCACAUUGGAGCUGAGACACGGUCCAAACUCCUACGGGAGGCAGCAGUGAGGAAUAUUGGUCAAUGGACGAGAGUCUGAACCAGCCAAGUAGCGUGAAGGAUGAAGGUCUUACGGAUUGUAAACUUCUUUUAUAAGGGAAUAAAACCUCCCACGUGUGGGAGCUUGUAUGUACCUUAUGAAUAAGCAUCGGCUAACUCCGUGCCAGCAGCCGCGGUAAUACGGAGGAUGCGAGCGUUAUCCGGAUUUAUUGGGUUUAAAGGGAG